AUAAUACAUCAUUAACAUCGUAUAUAUUACAAAAAAUAAUACCUGAUUACCAAAUUAACCGAAAUACGUUUACUUAUUUAUUUUUUCUAUAACAUUUACCUCGUUAUUUUAACAUUACAUUACACGCAUAAAUAUAAACGCACAUAAAACUAUAUACACACAUAUAUAUAUGAUAUUCAAAGAAAUACUAUAAAUAGUCAAUACAUAAUUAUUUAUUUCCAUAUGCAAAUAAAAUAAAUUUCAAAGAUGCGAAAAUAUCCCCCCGGCAGCGAAGUACCUUUCAAUGGAACUCGUCUACAUAAAUUUAUGACAAUGGACCUUGCUGUAAAUUACCACAAGAAUGAAUAAAUCUUAAACAUUUGAAUGGUGUUAAACAAAUUGUAAAUUAAAUAAUAUCAAAUUAAAAACGACAUUUAUGUAACUGAAAAACAAAUGCUAACUGCUUGUUUAGACUAUUAGGGAUGUAUUUACAUACAUAAAACUAAAUAUAAAACAUAGUCAGUUUAUCGAUGGCUUAAUAUAAAAAGGCCCUAACUCGUGGUUUUUUUGGCUAAUUAUGAUAUAUGAUAUUUAUCGAAAUAAACGAAAAUCUGGACUUACAAAAAAACACGAGUUAUGGCCUUUUUAUAUUAAGCCAUCGUUAUACACUUUAGGAUAAGAUGUAUAAAUAUGAUAAUUUUCCCAUGUAUUAAUUCGCAGCAUUGUUAGCAUUUGCUUUUCAUCACUAAUAAAACUAUGAAAUAAAAUUUAAAUAUUUAUCGCAUUAACAAA